rnacentral:rRNA from 1 species
UAGGGAAUCUUCCGCAAUGGACGCAAGUCUGACGGAGCAACGCCGCGUGAGUGAAGAAGGAUUUCGGUUCGUAAAACUCUGUUGUUAGAGAAGAACAGCGCAUAGAGUAACUGUUAUGCGUGUGACGGUAUCUAACCAGAAAGCCACGGCUAACUACGUGCCAGCAGCCGCGGUAAUACGUAGGUGGCAAGCGUUGUCCGGAUUUAUUGGGCGUAAAGCGAGCGCAGGCGGUCAAUUAAGUCUGAUGUGAAAGCCCCCGGCUCAACCGGGGAGGGUCAGUGGAAACUGGUUGACUUGAGGGCAGAAGAGGAGAGUGGAAUUCCAGGUGUGGCGGUGAAAUGCGUAGUUAUAUGGAGGAACACCAGUGGCGAAGGCGACUCUCUGGUCUGUAACUGACGCUGAGGCUCGAAAGCGUGGGUAGCAAACAGU